CAAUGAAUGAAGCAUGAUAAUGUGCACAUAAAUUGAAUUGGGUCUCUAGACUUGCCCUCUUUGAUGUCAUUUGGUUUUGAUUUGGGGACAUAGUUCCGCAACAAAAUA